CAAGUAGCGUGUAGUCAUUUUGUUUGGAUUGCACCACCUCAGUGGAAGUUGUCAGUCUCUGAUGGUCAAAUCCAAGGCUGAGCUGCAGGUAGGUGAUUUGAAAGUAACUUGGAAGAGCCAACUGGAUUCAGAAUUCAAAUUCGAUUUUAAUUUAUUACCAUCCACGUGACUGAAGCUAUAAAAUGCAAGAUUACUUAGGUGAACUUAUUCUUCAGGUACUCAGCUUGUUUCUCCUGCACAGCUCUCUGCAAGAGAGGAGGACUGCUGUAACAACCUUCUGAACAGACUGAACGCUGGAGAGCACUGAGAGGGAAGAGUACUUUGGAUAAGUGCUAUCAGUUUACAAAGUAACAGAAUGGAGAACAAGCAACAAAGCAAUGGGGGGAUGAAACAAAAUGAUGAGGUGAAGAAAAAAAUGGUAAGUGAAUGCCUCAACUCCUCUAUCAGCGUAUUUGCCAUUAUGUCAGCAUGUUAAGGUGAGAAAU